rnacentral:rRNA from 1 species
CCAAGGAGUCUAACAUGUGCGCGAGUCAUUGGGUCUUGUUCAGGCCCAGAGGCGCAAUGAAAGUGAAGGACGCCCCAGUCGGUGUCUGCGUUGGGAUCCCGGGGCCGCGAGCCUCGGGCGCACCAACGGCCCGUCCCGUCCGCCACGUCGGUGGGACGGAGCGAGAGCGUACACGUUGGGACCCGAAAGAUGGUGAACUAUGCCUGGGCAGGACGAGGCCAGAGGAAACUCUGGUGGAGGUCCGCAGCGAUUCUGACGUGCAAAUCGAUCGUCAGACCUUGGUAUAGGGGCGAAAGACUAAUCGAACCGUCUAGUAGCUGGUUCCCUCCGAAGUUUCCCUCAGGAUAGCUGGUGCUCGAUCGGAAUCAGUCUCAUCCGGUAAAGCGAAUGAUUAGAGGCCUUGGGGCCGAAACGACCUCAACCUAUUCUCAAACUUUCAAUGGGUGAGAAGUCCGGUUUACCCGACUGAAGCCCGGACGAUUCUCAGGAUGUGAGUGCCCAGUGGGCCACUUUU